CGGCAAAAGCUCAAAUUUGAAAUCUGGUACCUUCGGUGCCCGAGUUGUAAUUUGGAGAGGGCAACUUUGGGGCCGUUCCUUGUCUAUGUUCCUUGGAACAGGACGUCAUAGAGGGUGAGAAUCCCGUGUGGCGAGGAGUGCGGUUCUUUGUAAAGUGCCUUCGAAGAGUCGAGUUGUUUGGGAAUGCAGCUCUAAGUGGGUGGUAAAUUCCAUCUAAAGCUAAAUAUUGGCGAGAGACCGAUAGCGAACAAGUACAGUGAUGGAAAGAUGAAAAGAACUUUGAAAAGAGAGUGAAAAAGUACGUGAAAUUGUUGAAAGGGAAGGGCAUUUGAUCAGACAUGGUGUUUUGUGCCCUCUGCUCCUUGUGGGUAGGGGAAUCUCGCAUUUCACUGGGCCAGCAUCAGUUUUGGUGGCAGGAUAAAUCCAUAGGAAUGUAGCUUGCCUCGGUAAGUAUUAUAGCCUGUGGGAAUACUGCCAGCUGGGACUGAGGACUGCGACGUAAGUCAAGGAUGCUGGCAUAAUGGUUAUAUGCCGC
rnacentral:rRNA from 1 species